AAUCAACGCUGGCGGCGUGCCUAACACAUGCAAGUCGAACGCGAGAGGGGCUUCGGCCCUGAUUGAGUGGCAAACGGGUGAGUAACGCGUGGGUGACCUACCUUCGAGUGGGGGAUAACGUUCCGAAAGGGACGCUAAUACCGCAUAACAUCCUGUCUUUGGACAGAUGGAGAUCAAAGCCGGGGAUCGUAAGACCUGGCGCUUGAGGAGGGGCCCGCGUCCGAUUAGCUAGUUGGNGGGGUAAUGGCUCACCAAGGCAACGAUCGGUAGCCGCCUGAGAGGGCGGACGGCCACACUGGGACUGAGACACGGCCCAGACUCCUACGGGAGCAGCAGUGGGGAAUUGUUCGCAAUGGGCGCAAGCCUGACGACGCAACGCCGCGUGAAGGA
rnacentral:rRNA from 1 species